AGACGCUGGCGGCAGGCCACACAUGCAAGUCGAGCGCGCCUUUCGCGGUGAGCGGCGGACGGGUUAGUAACGCGUGGGAAUAUACCCUUUGGUACGGAAUAGCCUCUGGAAACGGAGAGUAAUACCGUAUGAGCCCUUCGGGGGAAAGAUUUAUCGCCAAAGGAUUAGCCCGCGUUAGAUUAGGUAGUUGGUGGGGUAAUGGCCUACCAAGCCUACGAUCUAUAGCUGGUUUUAGAGGAUGAUCAGCAACACUGGGACUGAGACACGGCCCAGACUCCUACGGGAGGCAGCAGUGGGGAAUCUUGGACAAUGGGGGCAACCCUGAUCCAGCCAUGCCGCGUGAGUGAUGAAGGCCUUAGGGUCGUAAAGCUCUUUCGCCUGUGAAGAUAAUGACGGUAGCAGGUAAAGAAACCCCGGCUAACUCCGUGCCAGCAGCCGCGGUAAUACGGAGGGGGUUAGCGUAGUUCGGAAUUACUGGGCGUAAAGCGCACGUAGGCGGACUGGAAAGUUGGGGGUGAAAUCCCAGGGC
rnacentral:rRNA from 1 species